CAGCCGCCGCGGUAAUGCAGAGGAUGCAAGCGUUAUCCGGAAUGAUUGGGCGUAAAGCGUCUGCAGGUGGCUUUUCAAGUCCGCCGUCAAAUCCCAGGGCUCAACCCUGGACAGGCGGUGGAAACUACCAAGCUGGAGUACGGUAGGGGCAGAGGGAAUUUCCGGUGGAGCGGUGGAAUGCGUUGAGAUCGAAAAGAACACCAACAGCGAAAGCACUCUGCUGGGACGACACUGACACUAAGAGACGAAAGCUAGGGGAGCAAAUGGGAUUAGAGACCCCCGUAGUCCCUGUCUCUUAUAC
rnacentral:rRNA from 1 species